rnacentral:misc_RNA from 1 species
GAUGAAGAACGCAGCGAAAUGCGAUACGUAAUGUGAAUUGCAGAAUUCAGUGAAUCAUCGAGUCUUUGAACGCACAUUGCGCCCGCUAGUAUUCUGGCGGGCAUGCCUGUCCGAGCGUCAUUUCAACCCUCAAGCCCCCGGGCUUGGUGUUGGGGAUCGGCGAGCCUCCGCGCCCGCCGUCCCCUAAAUCUAGUGGCGGUCUCGCUGUAGCUUCCUCUGCGUAGUAGCACACCUCGCACUGGGAAACAGCGCGGCCACGCCGUUAAACCCCCAACUUCUGAACGUUUGACCUCGGAUCAGGUAGGAAUACCCGCUGAACUUAAGCAUAUAAAUAAGCGGAGGA